rnacentral:rRNA from 1 species
AUGCAGAUCUUCGUCAAGACCCUCACGGGGAAGACCAUCACCCUCGAGGUUGAGAGCAGCGAUACCAUCGACAAUGUCAAGGCCAAGAUCCAGGACAAGGAGGGUGAGUAUCUUCUUCUUUCCUUUCCUUUUUUGUUUCCGCCGGCCGCCGUGGCUAAUAUCUGUUUUGUUCCGGCAGGGAUCCCGCCGGACCAGCAGCGGCUGAUCUUCGCCGGCAAGCAGUUGGAGGACGGCCGCACCCUUGCCGACUACAACAUCCAGAAGGAGUCGACCCUCCAUCUCGUCCUCAGGCUCCGCGGAGGCAUCAUCGAGCCAUCCCUGCAGGCGCUUGCCCGCAAGUACAACCAGGAGAAGAUGAUCUGCCGCAAAUGCUAUGCGCGCCUGCACCCUAGGGCUGUCAACUGCCGCAAGAAGAAGUGUGGCCACAGCAACCAGCUGAGGCCCAAGAAGAAGAUCAAGAACUAG